CAACACUUGUUAACUGAACAAACAUCCAACACUAUUAUACAACUACUUCCUAUUUUUAGCUCUCAACAACAAUGAAUAUCUUUGAAACCUAUUAUUCAGACCCACUAAUUUUAACCGAAUCUUCUUCUUCUUCAUCAUCAUCAUCAUCUGACCAUGACAUUAUUUUAGCUUCGAAUAACCCAAAAAGGCCAGCUGGCAGGAAGAAGUUUCGAGAAACUCGACAUCCGAUAUACAGGGGAAUCAGGAUGAGGAAUUCAGGAAAAUGGGUUUGUGAAGUUAGAGAACCAAAUAAGAAAUCAAGGAUUUGGCUUGGUACUUUUCCUACUGCUGAAAUGGCAGCAAGAGCUCAUGACGUGGCAGCUUUAGCAUUAAGGGGCCGUUCUGCUUGUUUGAAUUUCGCUGAUUCUGCUUGGAGGUUGCCUAUCCCGGCUUCCUCCAACUCUAAUGAUAUUCAAAAGGCGGCCGCUGAGGCCGCCGAAAUCUUCCGAUCAUCAUCAGAAGAGUCAGAAGAAGUUUCAGGAGAAUCUGAUAACAGUACUCCUGAAACGCCAGAAAAUGCAUUUUUUAUGAACGAUGAAGUGCAAGAGAGUAGCUUCUUCAUGGAUGAGGAAGCGCUCUUUUUCAUGCCAGGAUUAAUUGCAAAUAUGGCGGAAGGACUAAUGCUACCUCCACCUCAAUGUGCAGAAAUGGGAGAUCAUUAUGUGGAAGCUGAUGCCUACAUGACUUUAUGGAAUUAUUCUAUCUAAAUAGUACAAUUUCUUAAAUUACUAGGAUUUAGAAGAUUUUGGUAAUUUUCGUACUCAGUAUUUGGAUGGUACGAAUGUACAUUAGUAUUAUGAUUUUAAUACUAAACAAUGUAGAUAGUAGCGCCACCAAAUAAUGACACGUGUCAAUG